rnacentral:rRNA from 1 species
UACGAAUCGUCCAAACGUUGUUCGGAUUUACUGGGUUUAAAGGGCGCGUAGGCGGUGCGUUAAGUCGGCGGUGAAAUACUUCGGCUCAACCGGAGAAUUGCCGCUGAAACUGGCGUGCUCGAGGGAGGUAGAGGUGCGUGGAACUUCCGGUGGAGCGGUGAAAUGCGUUGAUAUCGGAAGGAACACCUGUGGCGAAAGCGAUGCACUGGACCUCUUUUGACGCUGAGUGCGCGAAAGCCAGGGGAGCGAACGGG